GGGUUGUGAGGUUAAGCGAAUAAGCGUACACGGUGGAUGCCUAGGCAAUCAGAGGCGAUGAAGGACGUGCUAAUCUGCGAAAAGCGUCGGUAAGGUGAUAUGAACCGUUAUACCCGACGAUAUCCGAAUGGGGAAACCCAGUAUCCAAUGGAUACUAUCAUUAACUGAAUCCAUAGGUUAAUGAGGCGAACCGGGAGAACUGAAACAUCUCAGUACCCCGAGGAAAAGAAAUCAACCGAGAUUCCCCUAGUAGCGGCGAGCGAACGGGGAGCAGCCCAGAGUCUUAAUCAAUAGCAGUGUCAGGAGAACGGUCUGGAAAGUCCGGCAGUAAAGGGUGAUAGCCCCGUAUCUGAAGAUGCUGUUAUUGUGAACUCGACGAGUAGGGCGGGACACGUGUUAUCCUGUCUGAAUAUGGGGGGACCAUCCUCCAAGGCUAAAUACUCCUGAUUGACCGAUAGUGAACCAGUACCGUGAGGGAAAGGCGAAAAGAACCCCGGCGAGGGGAGUGAAAAAGAACCUGAAACCGUGUACGUACAAGCAGUAGGAGCCUCUUUAUGGGGUGACUGCGUACCUUUUGUAUAAUGGGUCAGCGACUUAUAUUCUGUAGCAAGGUUAACCGUAUAGGGGAGCCGUAGGGAAACCGAGUCUUAACUGGGCGAAUGAGUUGCAGGGUAUAGACCCGAAACCCGGUGAUCUAUCCAUGGGCAGGUUGAAGGUUGGGUAACACUAACUGGAGGACCGAACCGACUAAUGUUGAAAAAUUAGCGGAUGACUUGUGGAUGGGGGUGAAAGGCCAAUCAAACCGGGAGAUAGCUGGUUCUCCCCGAAAGCUAUUUAGGUAGCGCCUCGUGAACUCAUCUUCGGGGGUAGAGCACUGUUUCGACUAGGGGGUCAUCCCGACUUACCAACUCGAUGCAAACUGCGAAUACCGAAGAAUGUUAUCACGGGAGACACACGGCGGGUGCUAACGUCCGUCGUGAAGAGGGAAACAACCCAGACCGCCAGCUAAGGUCCCAAAGUCAUGGUUAAGUGGGAAACGAAGUGGGAAGGCUCAGACAGCCAGGAUGUUGGCUUAGAAGCAGCCAUCAUUUAAAGAAAGCGUAAUAGCUCACUGGUCGAGUCGGCCCGCGCGGAAGAUGUAACGGGGCUAAACCAUGCACCGAAGCUGCGGCAGCGANNGUUGGGUAGGGGAGCGUUCUGUAAGCCUGCGAAGGUGUACUGUGAGGUAUGCUGGAGGUAUCAGAAGUGCGAAUGCUGACAUAAGUAACGAUAAUGCGGGUGAAAAACCCGCACGCCGGAAGACCAAGGGUUCCUGUCCAACGUUAAUCGGGGCAGGGUGAGUCGACCCCUAAGGCGAGGCUGAAAAGCGUAGUCGAUGGGAAACGGGUUAAUAUUCCCGUACUGGUGGUAACUGCGAUGGGGGAACGGAGAAGGCUAGGUUGUCCGGGCGACGGUCGUCCCGGUUCAAGCAGGUAGGCAGAGUGAUUAGGCAAAUCCGGUCACUUAAUGCUGAGAUGUGAUGACGAACCACCAAGGUGGUGAAGCAAUUGAUGCCCCGCUUCCAGGAAAAGCCUCUAAGCUUCAGGUUACCAACAAUCGUACCCCAAACCGACACAGGUGGUCAGGUAGAGAAUACUCAGGCGCUUGAGAGAACUCGGGUGAAGGAACUAGGCAAAAUGGUGCCGUAACUUCGGGAGAAGGCACGCUGGCGGUAGGUAAAGUCCCUCGCGGACGGCGCUGAAGCCAGUCGAAGAUACCAGCUGGCUGCAACUGUUUAUUAAAAACACAGCACUGUGCAAACACGAAAGUGGACGUAUACGGUGUGACGCCUGCCCGGUGCUGGAAGGUUAAUUGAUGGGGUCAGCCGUAAGGCGAAGCUCCUGAUCGAAGCCCCAGUAAACGGCGGCCGUAACUAUAACGGUCCUAAGGUAGCGAAAUUCCUUGUCGGGUAAGUUCCGACCUGCACGAAUGGCGUAAUGAUGGCCAGGCUGUCUCCACCCGAGACUCAGUGAAAUUGAACUCGCUGUGAAGAUGCAGUGUACCCGCGGCAAGACGGAAAGACCCCGUGAACCUUUACUAUAGCUUGACACUGAACAUUGAGCCUUGAUGUGUAGGAUAGGUGGGAGGCUUUGAAGUGUGGACGCCAGUCUGCAUGGAGCCAACCUUGAAAUACCACCCUUUAACGUUUGAUGUUCUAACCUAGGCCCAUAAACUGGGUCGGGGACCGUGUCUGGUGGGUAGUUUGACUGGGGCGGUCUCCUCCUAAAGAGUAACGGAGGAGCACGAAGGUUGGCUAAGCAUGGUCGGACAUCAUGCGGUUAGUGCAAAGGCAUAAGCCAGCUUGACUGCGAGAGUGACGGCUCGAGCAGGUACGAAAGUAGGUCUUAGUGAUCCGGUGGUUCUGAAUGGAAGGGCCAUCGCUCAACGGAUAAAAGGUACUCCGGGGAUAACAGGCUGAUACCGCCCAAGAGUUCAUAUCGACGGCGGUGUUUGGCACCUCGAUGUCGGCUCAUCACAUCCUGGGGCUGAAGUAGGUCCCAAGGGUAUGGCUGUUCGCCAUUUAAAGUGGUACGCGAGCUGGGUUUAGAACGUCGUGAGACAGUUCGGUCCCUAUCUGCCGUGGGCGUUGGAAGAUUGAGAGGGGUUGCUCCUAGUACGAGAGGACCGGAGUGAACGCACCACUGGUGUUCGGGUUGUCAUGCCAAUGGCAUUGCCCGGUAGCUAAGUGCGGAAGAGAUAACCGCUGAAAGCAUCUAAGCGGGAAACUUGCCUCGAGAUGAGUCUUCCCUGUCACUUUAAGUGACCUAAAGGAACGUUUAAGACUAAGACGUUGAUAGGCUGGGUGUGUAAGCGUAGCGAUACGUUGAGCUAACCAGUACUAAUGAACCGUGAGGCUUAACCUGACAACACCGAAAGUGUUUUG
rnacentral:rRNA from 1 species